rnacentral:lncRNA from 1 species
CUAAGGGCAUAUCGGUUGAAGUAGAUUCUUCUUUUGAUCAAUUCCCAAACUCUUUUUCGAGCUCACUAAGGCAAGCGGCGCCCCAUUUGUGUCUGUCUGCGAUCGUGCCUAGCUGGGCAGUUCAUCAGGAGCUGCUAUCUGGGACCAAGCACUAAGCACUCUUGAUUUUCUUUUUCAAUUGAUUUCUAAGAGGAUUGGCAAAUCUCACUGUGCCUAACACAUCUAAUUGGAAGUGGAAUGAAGAUAAUGCGCUUUACUCUUUCAUUUGUAGCUGGAUUACCCCUGGGCUAACUUAACUUGAAUCUGUUCUCUUUAGUUUUUCACUAAGCCUCAUCUGAGUGCUAUAUACAUAGCUCCUUGAUUACUUAUCAAAUAAAAUGAACAUUCUUUAAGAACUUUUUCUCCCGAUCUUA